rnacentral:tRNA from 1 species
GGCCCGUGUAGCGGACGGUGGCGGGGGUGCUCUCGCGCAGUGCCAGGUGCAGCUGGGCGCUGCGGCGGGCGG